UACGGGGGGGGUAAGCGUUGUUCGGAAUUACUGGGCGUAAAGGGCUCGUAGGCGGCCAACUAAGUCGGACGUGAAAUCCCUCAGCUUAACUGGGGAACUGCGUCCGAUACUGGAUGGCUUGGAUUUGGGAGAGGGAUGCGGAAUUCCAGGUGUAGCGGUGAAAUGCGUAGAUAUCUGGGGGAACACCGGUGGCGAAGGCGGCAUCCUGGACCAAUAUUGACGCUGAGGAGCGAAAGCCAGGGGAGCAAACGGG
rnacentral:rRNA from 1 species